GCUGGGCAUGGUGGCCCAUGUCUGUAGUCCCAGCACUCUGGGAGGCCGAGGUGGGUGGAUCACCUGAGGCCAGGAGUUCGAGACCAGCCUGGCCAACAUGGUGAAACCCCGUCUCUA
rfam:Macaca mulatta chromosome 8, whole genome shotgun sequence.